rnacentral:rRNA from 1 species
GUGGGGAAUAUUGCACAAUGGGGGAAACCCUGAUGCAGCAACGCCGCGUGAGUGAUGACGGUCUUCGGAUUGUAAAGCUCUGUCUUCAGGGACGAUAAUGACGGUACCUGAGGAGGAAGCCACGGCUAACUACGUGCCAGCAGCCGCGGUAAUACGUAGGUGGCAAGCGUUGUCCGGAUUUACUGGGCGUAAAGGGAGCGUAGGUGGAUAUUUAAGUGGGAUGUGAAAUACUCGGGCUUAACCUGGGUGCUGCAUUCCAAACUGGAUAUCUAGAGUGCAGGAGAGGAAAGUAGAAUUCCUAGUGUAGCGGUGAAAUGCGUAGAGAUUAGGAAGAAUACCAGUGGCGAAGGCGACUUUCUGGACUGUAACUGACACUGAGGCUCGAAAGCGUGGGGAGCAAACAGGAUUAGAUACCCUUGUAGUCC